AGUGUAAUUGCUGGGUCAUAUGAUAAUUCUAUUUAACUUGUUGAGGAACUGCCAAACUGUUUUCCCCAGUGGCUGUACCAUUUUAUAUUCCCAUUAGCAAU
rnacentral:pre_miRNA from 1 species